AUUGAACGCUGGCGGCAGGCCUAACACAUGCAAGUCGAACGAGUGGCGGACGGGUGAGUAAUGUCUGGGAAACUGCCUGAUGGAGGGGGAUAACUACUGGAAACGGUAGCUAAUACAGCAUACCAUCGGAUGUGCCAAGAUGGGAUUAGCUAGUAGGUGGGGUAAAGGCUCACCUAGGGGACGAGCCCUAGCUGGUCUGAGAGGAUGACACUCCGCAGUGGAACUGAGACACGGUCCAGCCUCCUACGGGAGGCAGCAGUGGGGAAUAUUGCACAAUGGGCGCAAGCCCGAUGCAGCCAUGCCGAGUGUUUGAAGGAGGCCUUCGGGUUGUAGAGUACUUUCAGCUGGGAGGCGUUACCCGCAGAAUAAUCACCGGCUUACUCCGUACCAGCAGCCGCGGUAAUAC
rnacentral:rRNA from 1 species